ACGAACGCUGGCGGCGUGCUUAACACAUGCAAGUCGAACGGACGAAUGUUUUGCACUCAGUAUGUUGUAAAAUAUAUUGAGUGCAGAAAUAUGAGUUAGUGGCGGACUGGUGAGUAACGCGUGAGCAACCUGCCUUUAACUGGGGAAUACCACUUAGAAAUAGGUGCUAAUACCGCAUAACAUUGCACUGUGGCAUCACAGAGCAAUCAAAGAUUUAUCGGUUAAAGAUGGGGCUCGCGUAGCAUUAGCUAGUUGGUGGGGUAACGGCCUACCAAGGCGACGAUGAUUAGCCGACCUGAGAGGGUAAACGGCCACACUGGAACUGAGACACGGUCCAGACUCCUACGGGAGGCAGCAGUGGGGAAUAUUGGGCAAUGGAGGGAACUCUGAACCCCAGCAACGCCGCGUGAAGGAUGAAGGCCCUCUGGGUUGUAAACUUCUGUUGUAUAGGAAAAAGAAGUGAUGGUACUAUACGAGGAAGCCACGGCUAACUACGUGCCAGCCGCGGC
rnacentral:rRNA from 1 species